AUUGGGCGUAAGAGCUCGUAGGCGGUUUGUCGCGUCUGCCGUGAAAGUCCGGGGCUCAACUCCGGAUCUGCGGUGGGUACGGGCAGACUAGAGUGAUGUAGGGGAGACUGGAAUUCCUGGUGUAGCGGUGAAAUGCGCAGAUAUCAGGAGGAACACCGAUGGCGAAGGCAGGUCUCUGGGCAUUAACUGACGCUGAGGAGCGAAAGCAUGGGGAGCGAACAGGAUUAGAUACCCUGGUAGUCCAUGCCGUAAACGUUGGGCACUAGGUGUGGGGGACAUUCCACGUUUUCCGCGCCGUAGCUAACGCAUUAAGUGCCCCGCCUGGGGAGUACGGCCGCAAGGCUAAAACUCAAAGGAAUUGACGGGGGCCCGCACAAGCGGCGGAGCAUGCGGAUUAAUUCGAUGCAACGCGAAGAACCUUACCAAGGCUUGACAUGAACCAGACCGGGCUGGAAACAGUCCUUCCCCUUGUGGGUUGGUUUACAGGUGGUGCAUGGUUGUCGUCAGCUCGUGUCGUGAGAUGUUGGGUUAAGUCCCGCAACGAGCGCAACCCUCGUUCUAUGUUGCCAGCACGUGAUGGUGGGGACUCAUAGGAGACUGCCGGGGUCAACUCGGAGGAAGGUGGGGACGACGUCAAAUCAUCAUGCCCCUUAUGUCUUGGGCUUCACGCAUGCUACAAUGGCCGGUACAAAGGGUUGCGAUACUGUGAGGUGGAGCUAAUCCCAAAAAGCCGGUCUCAGUUCGGAUUGGGGUCUGCAACUCGACCCCAUGAAGUCGGAGUCGCUAGUAAUCGCAGAUCAGCAACGCUGCGGUGAAUACGUUCCCGGGCCUUGUACACACCGCCCGUCAAGUCACGAAAGUUGGUAACACCCGAAGCCGGUGGCCUAACCCCUUGUGGAGGGAGCUGUCGAAGUGGACUGGCGAUUGGGACGAAGUCG
rnacentral:rRNA from 1 species